rnacentral:rRNA from 1 species
GACGUAGGUGGCAAGCGUUGUCCGGAGUGAUUGGGCGUAAAGCGCGCGCAGGCGGUGCGGUCAGUCCAUGGUGAAAGCGCCCGGCUCAACUGGGCGAGGUCCGUGGAGACGGGCGCACUGGAGGGAAGCAGAGGCGAGUGGAAUUCCGGGUGUAGUGGUGAAAUGCGUAGAGAUCCGGAGGAACACCAGAGGCGAAGGCGGCUCGCUGGGCUUUUUCUGACGCUGAGGCGCGAAAGCGUGGGGAGCGAACCG